GACGAACGCUGGCGGCGUGCUUAACACAUGCAAGUCGAACGAAGAGGGAUGGAAGCUUGCUUCUAUCAAUCUUAGUGGCGACCGGGUGAGUAACGCGUAAUCAACCUGCUCUUCAGAGGGGGACCACAGUUGGAAACGACUGCUAAUGCCGCAUACGAUCUGAACUCGGCAUCGAGGAUAGAUGAAAGGUGGCCUCUAUUUAUAAGCUAUCACUGAAGGAGGGGAUUGCGUCUGAUUAGCUAGUUGGAGGGGUAACGGCCCACCAAGGCGAUGAUCAGUAGCCGGUCUGAGAGGAUGAACGGCCACAUUGGGACUGAGACACGGCCCAGACGCCUACGGGAGGCAGCAGUGGGGAAGCUUCCGCAAUGGACGAAAGUCUGACGGAGCAACGCCGCGUGAGUGAUGACGGCCUUCGGGUUGUAAAGCUCUGUUAAUCGGGACGAAAGGCCUUCUUGCGAAUAGUUAGAAGGAUUGACGGUACCGAAAUAGAAAGCCACGGCUAACUACGUG
rnacentral:rRNA from 1 species